UGCAAAAUAACAGUUAACCGACAAACACACUAGACUCGGGCUCCAUUAGCGACCUUAAACAAUUUCACACAUUCGUUGAUUCAAGAAAUACCAUUUUAUCAUUUUUGAACUUUAAUACCGUGAUAGGAAAUAGAGUGAGAGGUCCUUACUCGUUUCGGGGUCCAAACACGGCUUCACAGUGCGCCUACAGGCUGUCCCUAAUUUUCCCUGAAUUUUUCCCGGGGAACUGAAACACACUACUGGUACCUGCACGUGUUCCAAAAAAUCUCAAAUUAGG
rnacentral:lncRNA from 1 species